rnacentral:rRNA from 1 species
AUGGUGGUGGGCGGAGCAGCGGCCGGAGCAACGGGGGGCGGGAGGCGCGGGGCAAUGGUGGUGGGCAGAGCAGCGGCCGGAGCAACGGGGGGCGGGAAGAAGAAGAAGAAGGACAAGUCCGCUGGUGGCGGUGCGUCCUCUUCUCUAACCCGGGAGGAGCGAGAAGACAUGCUAGAUGCCUUGAUUGAGAAGGAAGUUCAGAAGAGGAUGAACAAAUUUAAGGGGAAGAGGCCGACCAAGUUCGAGCUCUCAGUAGAAGAUGCAGGGCUGCGAUUGAAGAUUGCCAAAGAGGAUCAGACAUCUCUUUCGACCUUACCCAGAUUUGAGCUUGACAUCGACUGUGAUAUUUUGGAGUACAUUAAUCUUCUGAAGGAUAGAAUGUUUCAUCACCGAACACGUGGGUCGUAUUACUUUGGCGGUGGAGUCGUGGCCACCCCACCAAUGGGGGAUGAUGAGACAUUCAACAUGAUUGAAUUCAUGGAGACAACCCAACAAGGCUCUAAGCGUUCUGUUAUGCAGUGCAUUUUUUGUGAUAAUGAUCUGUACUAUCAAUUGUUUAGAGCAACUCCUGAGAAGGACGAAGACAGGUAUACUACGGGCAAUUUUUACAGACUUGGUGGUGUUAAAAGGGAGUUCCCGGAGAAGUUAUUUGGAAAGCUUAAUGAUGUUUAUGGAGCCCCUGAGUCCUAUCAUAAUUCUGAGCAGAUUGCAGUCUACGCAAAUGUAUUCAGGAAGAUGGUUGAGAAAGUCAAGAAGCUCACACCAGAAAGGGCUAAGAAGUUUGAUCCUGAUCUUUUGCCCCUUGUGCAGCUUCCAAUCACUGCUGUAUGCGAGUCUGAAAGGUUUCCAGCAGUACUAAGGUUCACGACUGGUAACUUUUACAGCUCAACACCGCAGCACGUAACUAGCAGGCUUGAGGAACUUGUGCAUAACUGGGGGAGGUUGUCCAAGUUGGCUUUCUUGAUGAUUCUGGCUGUCAUCGAGUUCGACAUGGAAUUUUACGAUUGCAGAAAGAGCUUCCUUGAAGCUAGAGCUAAUUUGCACAACACCGUGGGGGCGGUACGUAAACUUACUUCAAUGGUCCUGAUGGGCAUUUCAGCCUGA